AAGGCUUGACCUCAAAUCAGGUAGGACUA
rnacentral:rRNA from 1 species